ACCCAUGGCCAGGCUGAAGGUUGGGUAACACCAGCUGGAGGGCCGAACCAACCACUGUUGCAAAAGUGCGUGGAUGAGCCGUGGGUAGGGGUGAAAGGCCAAACAAAUCUGGAAAUAGCUGGUUCUCCUCGAAAACUAUUGAGGUAGUGCCUCGUGAUACACCGUCGGGGGUAGAGCACUGUUAAGGCUAGGGGGGCAUGGCGCCCUACCAACCCUUGGCAAACUCCGAAUACCGGCGAGCGAAUUCACGGGAGACAGUGCACCGGGUGCUAACGUCCGGACACGAGAGGGAAACAACCCAGACCGCCAGCUAAGGCCCCCAAGCGAUAGCUAAGUGGGAAACGAGGUGGGAAGGCAUAAACAGUCAGGAGGUUGGCUUAGAAGCAGCCACCCUUUAAAGAAAGCGUAAUAGCUCACUGAUCGAGUCGUCCUGCGCGGAAGAUGUAACGGGGCUAAGCCAGUCACCGAAGCUGCGGAUAUGCAUUUAUGCAUAUGGUAGGAGAGCGUUCUGUAAGCCUGCGAAGGUGUCUUGUGAAGGAUGCUGGAGGUAUCAGAAGUGCGAAUGCUGACAUGAGUAGCGAUAAUGCGGGUGAAAAGCCCGCACGCCGAAAGCCCAAGGUUUCCUGUUCAACGUUCAUCGGAGCAGGGUGAGUCGGCCCCUAAGGCGAGGCAGAGAUGCGUAGCUGAUGGGAAGCAGGUUAAUAUUCCUGCACCGUCGUAUGAUGCGAUGGGGGGACGGAUCGCGGAAGGUUGUCUGACUGUUGGAAUAGUCAGUUUCUGGUUCAUAGGAGGUACUUAGGCAAAUCCGGGUACGUAAUCCAAGGGGCUGGGACGAGCGGCUUUAUGCUGCGAAGCAAUCGGAAGUGGUUCCAAGAAAAGCCUCUAAGCUUCAGUCAUACGAGACCGUACCGCAAACCGACACAGGUGGGCGAGAUGAGUAUUCUAAGGCGCUUGAGAGAACUCGGGAGAAGGAACUCGGCAAAUUGGUACCGUAACUUCGGGAUAAGGUACGCCCCGGUAGCUUGACUGCUUUACUGCAGAAGGGUGAAAGGGUUGCAAUAAACUGGUGGCUGCGACUGUUUAAUAAAAACACAGCACUCUGCAAACACGAAAGUGGACGUAUAGGGUGUGACGCCUGCCCGGUGCCGGAAGGUUAAUUGAUGGGGUCAGCCGCAAGGCGAAGCUCUUGAUCGAAGCCCCGGUAAACGGCGGCCGUAACUAUAACGGUCCUAAGGUAGCGAAAUUCCUUGUCGGGUAAGUUCCGACCUGCACGAAUGGCGUAACGACAGCGGCGCUGUCUCCACCCGAGACUCAGUGAAAUUGAAAUCGCUGUGAAGAUGCAGCGUUCCCGCGGCAAGACGGAAAGACCCCGUGAACCUUUACUACAGCUUUACA
rnacentral:rRNA from 1 species